rnacentral:tRNA from 1 species
GGGGAUAUAGCUCAGUUGGCUAGAGUGCCACGCUGGCAGCGUGGAAGUCAGGGGUUCGACUCCCCUUAUCUCCA